CAAUAUCGCAGCCAACAUGGCCUUUAUCAGGGAAGCCUUGAAGGAUGUUACUACACGCAUUGCCCUGCUGGAAGCCGCAUGGAGUACCCAUGACUCAAGACUGUCCACAGUGGAACAAAAACCAGAGGAGCUAGAACAGUGACAAAUGGCUACCACUGAACAGAUGGACGCCAUAGAGAAGCAACUACUGACUCAGUAUGCCUUCCUGAUGUGCCCCACUAUAUCCGAUGGUUGAUAG